rnacentral:lncRNA from 1 species
UUAUAUAUGCAAUUGAGAACUCAUAUAUUUUGUAAGUGAUUUGUAAUAAAUUACUUUGUUACAUAUAUUAAACUAUUAUGCACUCGUAAUCUGUUUCUGUAUCUGACACCCUUAUGGCUUAAUUAGCAUUUGGGAUGUCACAUAGAUAUUUGACUUAAUUUUAAUUUGUUGAAAUAUUUUUCCUAAAAUUUUUCAUUUCUUGUUGGUAGUGAUAGCACUUUGAUU